CGGGGUGAUGUAGCUUGCUACAUUACCUAGCGGCGGACGGGUGAGUAAUGCUUAGGAAUCUGCCUAUUAGUGGGGGACAACAUUCCGAAAGGAAUGCUAAUACCGCAUACGCCCUACGGGGGAAAGCAGGGGAUCUUCGGACCUUGCGCUAAUAGAUGAGCCUAAGUCAGAUUAGCUAGUUGGUGGGGUAAAGGCCUACCAAGGCGACGAUCUGUAGCGGGUCUGAGAGGAUGAUCCGCCACACUGGGACUGAGACACGGCCCAGACUCCUACGGGAGGCAGCAGUGGGGAAUAUUGGACAAUGGGCGAAAGCCUGAUCCAGCCAUGCCGCGUGUGUGAAGAAGGCCUUUUGGUUGUAAAGCACUUUAAGCGAGGAGGAGGCUACUUAGAUUAAUACUCUAGGAUAGUGGACGUUACUCGCAGAAUAAGCACCGGCUAACUCUGUGCCAGCAGCCGCGGUAAUACAGAGGGUGCGAGCGUUAAUCGGAUUUACUGGGCGUAAAGCGUGCGUAGGCGGCUUCUUAAGUCGGAUGUGAAAUCCCUGAGCUUAACUUAGGAAUUGCAUUCGAUACUGGGAAGCUAGAGUAUGGGAGAGGAUGGUAGAAUUCCAGGUGUAGCGGUGAAAUGCGUAGAGAUCUGGAGGAAUACCGAUGGCGAAGGCAGCCAUCUGGCCUAAUACUGACGCUGAGGUACGAAAGCAUGGGGAGCAAACAGGAUUAGAUACCCUGGUAGUCCAUGCCGUAAACGAUGUCUACUAGCCGUUGGGGCCUUUGAGGCUUUAGUGGCGCAGCUAACGCGAUAAGUAGACCGCCUGGGGAGUACGGUCGCAAGACUAAAACUCAAAUGAAUUGACGGGGGCCCGCACAAGCGGUGGAGCAUGUGGUUUAAUUCGAUGCAACGCAAAGAACCUUACCUGGUCUUGACAUAGUAAGAACUUUCCAGAGAUGGAUUGGUGCCUUCGGGAACUUACAUACAGGUGCUGCAUGGCUGUCGUCAGCUCGUGUCGUGAGAUGUUGGGUUAAGUCCCGCAACGAGCGCAACCCUUUUCCUUAUUU
rnacentral:rRNA from 1 species